AGGGGGGGCUGUGGGGGCCCUGGGGUGGAUGAGAGCUGUGAGCUGCUGCCCCGGGACGAGCGGUGCCUGGACGAGGAGGAGGAGUUCGACCUGGCGGAGGCCGAGAGGAGAAAAGCCCGGGAGAAGUUUGCCUACAUCAUCCCCGAGGAGGAGGAGAGGUACGGCCCGGGGACCACGCUGGGGCUCGCUAGGGGUGGGGGGACCUGAUGGCUACAUCCAUCUGUCUGUCCCCAGCCCGCUGGACACCCAGCUGGCCCGCUGGCUACAAGACACCGACGCCAUGACUGACAGGGAGAUCGGCUACCUGAGGAGCCUCUGGCAGCUCCGGCUCAGCGACCGCUGGCGGCUCUACAGGUCUCACCGCCCCGUCCCCCAUCACGGCGGGUCCCUGGGGCGGGGGGUCCCCGUCCCCAGGCUGUCCCCCACCGUGACCCCCAUCCCGUGCUGGUGGCAGGCGGUGGCUGGGCGCCUACAGCGCGGCGCUGGAGGAGGUGCUGGUGAAGCAGCUGGAGGAAUACGAGCAGAGCGCGGCCCAGCUGGCCCAGCACCGGCUCCAGGAGGACCUGCGGAUCCUGCGGCAGAGCCGCGUCAUCGGGAUGACGACCACGGGGGCUGCCAAGUACCGCAAGCUGCUGCAGAGCAUCCAGCCGCAGACGGUGAUCGUGGAAGAGGCGGCGGAGAUCCUGGAGGCGCACAUCCUGACCUGCCUCACCCCCUCCUGCAAGCACCUCAUCCUCAUCGGGGACCACCAGCAGCUGAGGCCCAAACCAGCCGAUUACACCCUGGAGAAGAAAUAUCACCUCGGCAUCUCCCUCUUCGAGCGGAUGAUCAACAACGAGAUCCCCCACGUGCAGCUGCUGUGCCAGCACCGCAUGCGCCCCGAGAUCUCCCAGCUGCUCGUCCCCUUCUUCUACAAGGCGCUGAGGGACCACCCGGCUGUCGAGAGCUACAGAAGGAUCAAGGUGGGUGGGGGGGAAGAAGCAGGGUAGGGCGGCUGUGAGGAUGGGGACGGUCCCCUGACCGUGUGUCCCCCCGGCUCCGGGCAGGGCGUGGAGAGCAGCGUCUUCUUCAUCCAGCACGUGGGGGCUGAGAACCUCGGCAGCCACGUCGGCAGCUACAGCAACCGCUCAGAGGCCUCCUUCCUGGUGCACCUCUGCAAGUACCUGCUGGAGCAGGGCUACGAGAAGGAGCAGCUCACCAUCCUGACGCCCUACAGCAGCCAAGUGGCCACCAUCCGUCAGCUGCUGGCCAGGAGGGACAUGGCCAAAGUGGCCACCUGCACCGUGGAUGACUUCCAAGGGGAGGAGAACGACAUCGUCCUGCUCUCACUGGUGCGGAGCAACCCAGAGGGGCGCAUCGGUUUCCUCAAGGACCGGCACCGCCUCUGCGUGGCUUUUUCCCGCGCCAGGAAAGGCUUCUACUGCGUCGGCAACCUGGAGGCCAUCGCGCAAGGCGCCGGCGGGCAGCUCUGGGCCGAGAUCCUGGUGGCCCUGAAGAGCAAGGGCCUGGUGGGGGACGGGCUGGUGCUGACCUGCCAAAACCACCCCGAGGUGAAGGUGACGGUACGGGACGCCUCCGACUUCAGGCGAAGCCCCGAGGGCGGCUGCACGCAGCGGUGCCAGACGCCGCUGCCCUGCGGCCACCCCUGCCCGCGCCACUGCCACCCGCGCGACCGCGAGCACCAGCAUGUUCGCUGCUGCCUGCCCUGCGCCCGGCCGCCCUGCCCGCACGGCCACCCCUGCCCCAAGCUCUGCUGGGAGAAGUGCGGCCCUUGC
ensembl:lncRNA